rnacentral:lncRNA from 1 species
AAGAAAAGAUUGGUCUCAGACAACUAAAAUAUUUAGUUUUAGAUGUAGCUGAUUACAUACUGGAUACGGGUUUUGGGUCAGAAAUGAAGCUAAUUUCCCGCCUAGUAAUGCCAUCAAUGGAAAAGUAUAACAUCCUUAUGUCCAGUUCUACUUUUCUAAAGGAAAUUCAAAGUUUGUCUGAGAAAUUAAUAAAGUUGGACUAUUUGUUUGCUGCUGUUAGAUGAGGUUGGGUGCUCAACAGCAUGCUCCUUCAUGGUUGAAAGAAACUGCUGAUAGUACAUAUGUUCCUGGCUUCAGUAGUGGUACAGGAGGGACGUCAACUGAUGUGUUUGCAUCGGUCGAUACUGGGAAAAAUUUCCAGACAAGAACAUUUUGAACAUAGUAGGGCUUUCUUUUUCACACACUCCCAGUUCAGUUGAUGAUGAGUCUU